AUUUGUGUGAGGGAGACUCGAAACAGAGCCGACAAGCAAAUCACGUUCAGAUCUCUCACAGAGAGUAAGGAGCACCUGAGGCCCGUGGCUCACAAAGAGGCGGACAGCAGCUCGGACCACUGGGCCAAGAGGAGGAAACUCUUCAAGGAGAGCAAGCAGUGCAGCUCUGCAGCAGGGAGCUCCAUCACCAGCGACAUCACGGAGGAGUCAGUGUCCGAGGAGACUCGCUCUGUAGACGUCACAGUCAUAGACGAAGGCGACAGAGGUUUUUAUACGGAUACGUUUCACUCCUCCGCCUGGAUUUACCAAGGAGACGAUGUGGUCACAGAAGCCAUCCAUCCCAGCCUCAACUCCAGAACGCGUUCCA